GAGUUUGAUCCUGGCUCAGAUUGAACGCUGGCGGCAUGCCUUACACAUGCAAGUCGAACGGCAGCACGGGAGCUUGCUCCUGGUGGCGAGUGGCGAACGGGUGAGUAAUGCAUCGGAACGUAUCCUGGAGUGGGGGAUAACGUAGCGAAAGUUACGCUAAUACCGCAUAUUCUGUGAGCAGGAAAGCGGGGGACCUUCGGGCCUCGCGCUCUUGGAGCGGCCGAUGUCGGAUUAGCUAGUUGGUGAGGUAAAGGCUCACCAAGGCGACGAUCCGUAGCAGGUCUGAGAGGAUGAUCUGCCACACUGGAACUGAGACACGGUCCAGACUCCUACGGGAGGCAGCAGUGGGGAAUUUUGGACAAUGGGGGCAACCCUGAUCCAGCCAUGCCGCGUGAGUGAAGAAGGCCUCGGUGUAAGACUCUUCGUCGUAGGGAAGAAAGUUAGACGACCGGACGAACUACUACGGU
rnacentral:rRNA from 1 species